UACGUAGGGUGCGAGCGUUGUCCGGAAUUACUGUGCGUAAAGAGCUCGUAGGUGGUUUGUCGCGUUGUUCGUGAAAUCUCACGGCUUAACUGUGAGCGUGCGGGCGAUACGGGCAGACUGGAGUACUGCAGGGGAGACUGGAAUUCCUGGUGUAGCGGUGGAAUGCGCAGAUAUCAGGAGGAACACCGGUGGCGAAGGCGGGUCUCUGGGCAGUAACUGACGCUGAGGAGCGAAAGCGUGGGGAGCGAACAGG
rnacentral:rRNA from 1 species